UAAAGUAGUAAUAGUUAAGAUCUUGAAACUUAAAAAAUUUGGCGGUAUUUUAGUCUAUUCAGAGGAACUUGUUUUAUAAUCGAUAUUCCACGAUGAACCUUACUUAAUUUUGUUAUCAGUUUAUAUACCGUCGUUAUUAGAAUAUUUUAUAAGAAUUUUUAAUUUUCUGAAUUUUUAAUAAAAAAAUAUAUCAGAUCAAGGUGUAGCUUAUAUUUAAGUAAAAAUGAGUUACAAUAAAAUUAUUUAAAUGAAUAUAAAUUUGAAAUAUUUAUUGAAGGUGGAUUUGAUAGUAAAUUUAUAUAGAUUAAUAAU
rnacentral:rRNA from 1 species